AAACAGCUCUUUUGAAAAGAUCUGGAAGAACAAGCUUAAAGCUGCCAAAGAUAACAGCUUCUCUUCUAGGUGAUCCAAGUGACCUAGGUAUUUUUUAGCCCCAUCCAGGAGACAAACCUGCCAUUAUGGAUCCUACUGGACAGGUGAGGAAAGGAGUGUUGGAGGAAGACCUCUGCAGCCUGUAGGAUGAAGCCUACUCCAUACCGGAAGUGGCUCAGCCCACUCUCUUGUCCACUCAAGCUGGCUGCACUGCCUGCAUCCUUUGAAAGCCACAAGACUGGGAUUAGGUACACCUGC